GCGAGUGAACCGGGAAAAGCUCAAAUUUAAAAUCGCUUGGGUUUACCUGAGUGAGUUGUAAUUUGAAGAAAGUGUUUCGACUUUUCGGGUUUGAUCCAAAUCCUUUGGGAUGAGGUAUCAUAGAGGGUGAGAAUCCCGUUCAUGAUUGAACCUGAGUUGUCAAUUGAUUCAUUUUCUAAGAGUCGAGUUGUUUGGGAUUGCAGCUCAAAAUGGGUGGUAAAUUUCACCUAAGGCUAAAUAUCUGCAAGAGACCGAUAGCGAACAAGUACCGUGAGGGAAAGAUGAAAAGAACUUUGAAAAGAGAGUUAAAAAGUACGUGAAAUUGUUGAAAGGGAAACGAUUGAAGUCAGUCAUGCUAGCGAGGAAUCAACUUGGUGGUGUGAGUCUCUCAUCUCCUCCCUGUGCACUUCCUCGUCUGGCAGGUUAGCAUCAAUUUUGAUUGUCAUCAAAUAAUUGGGGUAAUGUGGCUUCGCUUCGGUGGAGUGUUAUAGACCCUGGUGGAUGUGGCGAUUGGGAUUGAGGAUUGCAGCGGAUGCCUCUUGGCUAGUCACCUGAUUCCUGGCUGUCACCUCGCUUUCGACAGCUUGCUGACGAUUGUGGGACUCGGCGGUCUAGGUGUCGGUCUGAUCUUAAAUUCGCUAAGGAUGC
rnacentral:rRNA from 1 species